rnacentral:rRNA from 1 species
GUGUCAGCAGCCGCGGUAAUACGGAGGGCGCGAGCGUUGUUCGGAAUCAUUGGGCGUAAAGCGCGUGUAGGCGGCUUGGUAAGUCGAGUGUGAAAGCCCGGGGCUCAACCCCGGAAGGUCGCUCGAAACUGCCUCGCUAGAGUCCCGGAGAGGAAGGCGGAAUUCCCGGUGUAGAGGUGAAAUUCGUAGAUAUCGGGAGGAACACCAGCGGCGAAGGCGGCCUUCUGGACGGUGACUGACGCUGAGACGCGAAAGCGUGGGGAGCAAACAGGAUUAGAAACCCCCGUAGUCC